rnacentral:rRNA from 1 species
AACGAACGCUGGCGGCAGGCCUAACACAUGCAAGUCGAGCGCGCCUUCGGGUGAGCGGCGGACGGGUUAGUAACGCGUGGGAACGUGCCCUUCUCUACGGAAUAGCCUCUGGAAACGGAGAGUAAUACCGUAUACGCCCUUUGGGGGAAAGAUUUAUCGGAGAAGGAUCGGCCCGCGUUAGAUUAGGUAGUUGGUGGGGUAACGGCCUACCAAGCCUACGAUCUAUAGCUGGUUUUAGAGGAUGAUCAGCAACACUGGGACUGAGACACGGCCCAGACUCCUACGGGAGGCAGCAGUGGGGAAUCUUAGACAAUGGGGGCAACCCUGAUCUAGCCAUGCCGCGUGAGUGAUGAAGGCCUUAGGGUCGUAAAGCUCUUUCGCCUGUGAUGAUAAUGACAGUAGCAGGUAAAGAAACCCCGGCUAACUCCGUG